rnacentral:rRNA from 1 species
UGAAUACGAGACGCUAAGGCGUCGAAGUAGUGUAUGUCAUACUUCCAAGAAAAGCUUGCACUGUCAUAGAUAAAAAACGCCUGUACCAUAACCGACACAGGUGGGUAGGUAGAGUAUACUAAGGGGCGCGAGAUAACUCUCUCUAAGGAACUCGGCAAAAUAACUCCGUAACUUCGGGAGAAGGAGUGCCUUAUUCGUAAGGUUGCAAUAACAAGAUCCAAGCAACUGUUUAUCAAAAACACAGGUCUCCGCUAAGUCGUAAGACGAUGUAUGGGGGCUGACGCCUGCCCAGUGCCAGAAGGUUAAAGAAGUUGGUUAGCAAUUGCGAAGCUGAUAACUGAAGCCCUGGUGAACGGCGGCCGUAACAAUAACGGUCCUAAGGUAGCGAAAUUCCUUGUCGGGUAAGUUCCGACCCGCACGAAAGGCGUAAUGAUUUGGAUACUGUCUCGGAGAGGGGCUCGGUAAAAUAGACUUGUCUGUGAAGAUGCGGACUACCUGCACCAGGACAGAAAGACCCUAUGAAGCUUUACUGUAACUUGAAAUUGAAAUUGGACUUUAUUCGCGCAGUAUAGGUGGGAGGCGUUGAUUAUAAUCUUGCGGGAUUAUUGGAGCCAUCAGUGAGAUACCACUCUUGUAAUGUUAGAUUUCUAACUUUGAAUCAUUAUCUGGUCAAAGAACAGUUUCAGGCGGGCAGUUUGACUGGGGCGGUCGCCUCCUAAACGGUAACGGAGGCGUACAAAGGUUUCCUCUGAACGGUUAGAAAUCGUAUCUAGAGUGUAAAGGCAUAAGGAAGCUUGACUGUGAGACCUACAAGUCGAGCGGGGACGAAAGUCGGUCUUAGUGAUCUGACGGUACUGAGUGGAAAGGCCGUCACUCAACGGAUAAAAGUUACUCUAAGGAUAACAGGCUGAUCUCCCCCAAGAGUUCACAUCGACGGGGAGGUUUGGCACCUCGAUGUCGGCUCAUCGCAUCCUGGGGCGGUAGUACGUCCCAAGGGUUGGGCUGUUCGCCCAUGAAAGCGGUACGCGAGCUGGGUUCAGAACGUCGUGAGACAGUUCGGUCCAUAUCCGGUGUAGGCGUUAGAAUAUUGAGAGGAGCCUUCUUUAGUACGAGAGGACCGAGAAGGACAUACCUCUGGUGUACCAGUUAUCGUGCCAACGGUAAACGCUGGGUAGCUAUGUAUGGAGUGGAUAACCGCUGAAAGCAUCUAAGUGGGAAGCCCACCUCAAGAUAAGUAUUCCC